rnacentral:lncRNA from 1 species
AAAUUGUUGGUUUCCGAGUCUAGCGUAUAGAGCAACAGAAUAAGGAUCUUUAUUGACAGAAUUGAAUGUAUAAAAAUUGGUAGUAGAGUAGAUAAUAUGUCUGUUGAUAGUGUAUACGGUUGUAUUUCACGUGAUGUUACAUGUAUGAUUGCAGGUCUAUCUUGAUUCUGAAUAAUAGAUAGUGAUUAGUGUUUCUAUGUGCAUGACUGAUUUGAAACGAAAUUUCCGUAUUUGAUCAUGGAUUUGUUGUAAACUACGCCAUUAGAAAUAUAAAAAAAAACGGAGCGUUACAGUUGGUAUCAGAGCAAAUUAAGAAUACUACUAACGGGUGUCACUAUUCUGCACGUAGACCAAGGGAGGUGACAAAGAAAGGGAAGAGGUCGACCCCGUCGUGAAUCUGCUCCAGGAACGCAGGCUCACCAGGGGCCCCACGACGAACACCGGGGUUUCCCCA